CCUACGGGAGGCUGCAGUGAGGGAUAUUGGUCAAUGGGCGUAAGCCUGAACCAGCCAAGUCGCGUGAGGGAUGAAGGUUCUAUGGAUCGUAAACCUCUGUUAUAAGGGAAUAAAGUGCGGGACGUGUCCCGUUUUGUAUGUACCUUAUGAAUAAGGAUCGGCUAACUCCGUGCCAGCAGCCGCGGUAAUACGGAGGAUCCGAGCGUUAUCCGGAUUUAGUGGGUUUAAAGGGUGCGUAGGCGGCCUUUUAAGUCAGCGGUGAAAGUCUGUGGCUCAACCCUAGAAUUGCCGUUGAAACUGGGAGGCUUGAGUAUGUUUGAGGCAGGCGGAAUGCGUGGUGUAGCGGUGAAAUGCUUAGAUAUCACGCAGAACCCCGAUUGCGAAGGCAGCCUGCUAAGCCAUGACUGACGCUGAUGCACGAAAGCGUGGGGAUCAAACAGGAUUAGAUACCCGUGUAGUC
rnacentral:rRNA from 1 species